GCACAAAGGCAUACUCUUCUGCCACAGAGCUGUGUACACAGUCUACUUGAAAUGGGAAAGAGGAGCAGCGGCUGCUGUAAUCUCCACUGUUCAAUUAGCUGAACUGACCGGGACGCCACCUACACUUUAUUAACAGGGAGGGGAAGGGCAGGUUAAGCGUUACAGGGUGCAGAGAAGAGAUGACACGCAGCAAAGGGCCACAGGUUGGAAUUGAACUCCUGGCUGCUGCAGCAAGGUCACAGCCUCAGUACAUGGGCUGCCUGCUCUACCAGGUGGAACAUCAAGCCAGUCGGAGCACAAGAGAUGGAGAGUAAAUGAGAGCCUGCUGUCAGCGGUCUGAGCCAUUUCCAGGUGAAGCAAACUGAAUUAAAUUGAAUCAAGCUGAACUGAUCUGAACUGGAAUGACCUGACCUGAACUGAGGCGAAUUCUUCAGCUGGACAGGACACACUGAAGCUCACUGAGGUUUUGGAAAAAAUAUUCGGGCACAGAAAAACCUUGAAAUAAUACAGAUGAAAAAUGUUUUUGCAUGUUGUUUCUGAGGUGUUUUCUUGCUAUAUUCCUUAUAGUUCACAUUUGCACAAUAAUGUAUGACUUAAAUUCAUUCACAUGACAUAUGAAUUAAACUCACAUGGAUUUUGACACUGUGCAAUGUCAGCUUUCAUGUGGGUUUCUACUGUCUAUUUCUGUCUAUUUCUCUUUGGGUGGUGGUGGAGGUGGUGGUGGUGGUGGCAGUGAUGGGUUGGUGGUUAUAUGUAGCAACAGGUAUGUCCCUUUAACUUCUUGAGGAAUUGUCGUGGAAUAAAAUUCUUAAAUCUUUUAUAUGCUCCAUCCAUACUAAAACGUUUUUGUUUUAAAACUUACAACUUUUGCUAAGUUAACAUUAAGCAUCCAUCCACGCCACGGUCUUUCCAAACCCCCAAAACUGAGACUUUUAAAAAAUGUUGCUGUUUUAGUUUGAAAAUUACAGCAUUGUGUUUUAGAGUUGAUGAGCAGGAACUGACACAGACGUUAAUUCCCUGAUCUGGUCCUACCAAGCAAAAACAUUAUAGUGUCAGACCUCAUGUGAUUUUAUUCCUCUUGUGUGGGUCCUCUUUUCCCGUGGCCAUGGCCUUCUCCACUAAUUGAUGAUGCUCCUGGUACCACUCUGAUAUGUCUUCACAUUUGUUUUGCAACCAGUCUGUUUUCUGAAUAAUACUCGUGUGUUACUUUCUGUAGCAGUUCCACAUCUUCAUUGGUCCAGUGAGAUUAUUCCUGAAACAGUGCUAAAAUGCUCAUGUGUAGGGAGAAUAUUUGAAUUUUAAAAUGCUGUUUUAAAAUGAAAAUUGUAUUAGUGUGGAUGUAGCCUGAAGCCACUGGAACCCUGAGGUGGAGCUAAACUUAAAGAACCGUCGCACUAAGAACCAAAGUCCCUCAAACUCGUGGCCAGGAGAACACGGUUUUAAGGUUUGCUCCACUUCAACAGAAGUUUUGGAAAGUCAAGCAUUAUCUUCUAAAUAGAACUUUUUUGUGUGUUACGAUGGCCAAUUUCAUGUUGCCAGCAUAGCAUUUCUGUUGGUAAAGAACAAAAGUAGGCAGUCUACAAGUUGAAGGAAUGGUUUCAACUGUUUUCCUUUAGAACAAACCUUUAUUUAUCUUAACAUUGCAUCUUUUUUUUUAAAUCAUAGAUCAUUUAGACGAUAUUGUGAUAUUUAUAUUUGAAUGUAAAUUUAGUUAAGAUUAAAUGCCUGCAGUUUAAGCCCUAUGGGAGUUCUAAUAACGUGUGUCUCUGCAAUGUGAAAAAAUAAAAAAAUAAAAGUUUCAGUUUGGGUUCAUGUUCAGCCAUAUGCUAACACACUCGAACAACAGACAAAAUCUCUGUGAA